AUCUACUGCCAUACCACCCUGAAUGCACCAGAUCUCAUCUGAUCUCAGAAGCUAAGCAGGGUCAGUCCUCAUUAGUUCUCAAAAGAGAGAACGAAGCCCACAGAAAUGUUACUCCGUGGUUGUUC
rnacentral:rRNA from 1 species